rnacentral:rRNA from 1 species
ACGGUGAUAUUUAUAUCAUAGUGGCGCACGGGUGCGUAACACGUAUGCAACCUACCUAUUAUUGGGGGAUAGCCUUUGGAAACGGAGAUUAAUACCGCAUAAUACGAUUAACUGGCAUCGGUUGAUUGUUAAAGCAUUUGCGAUAAUAGAUGGGCAUGCGUCCAAUUAGUUAGUUGGUGUGGUAAUGGCUCACCAAGACGAUGAUUGGUAGGGGAUCUGAGAGGAUAAUCCCCCACACCGGCACUGAGAUACGGGCCAGACUCCUACGGGAGGCAGCAGUAGGAAAUAUUGGGCAAUGGGCGGAAGCCUGACCCAGCCAUGCCGCGUGCGGGAAGACGGCGUUAUGCGUUGUAAACUGCUUUUUUAUAGGAAGAAGGAUCCCUUGCGAGGGAAGGUGACGGUACUAUAAGAAUAAGCACCGGCUAACUCCGUGCCAGCAGCCGCGGUAAUACGGAGGGUGCAAGCGUUGUCCGGAUUUAUUGGGUUUAAAGGGUGCGUAGGCGGUUUAUUAAGUCAGUGGUGAAAGACGGUCGCUCAACGAUUGCAGUGCCAUUGAUACUGGUAGACUUGAGUGAGAUUGAGGUAGCUGGAAUGGAUAGUGUAGCGGUGAAAUGCAUAGAUAUUAUCCAGAACACCGAUUGCGAAGGCAGGCUACUAAGUCUUAACUGACGCUGAGGCACGAAAGUGUGGGGAUCAAACAGGAUUAGAUACCCUGGUAGUCCACACUGUAAACGAUGAUGACUAACUGUUGGCUU